rnacentral:rRNA from 1 species
GAGUUUGAUCCUGGCUCAGGAUGAACGCUGGCGGCGUGCUUAACACAUGCAAGUCGAACGAAGCGACUUUGGCUUGAUUUCCUUCGGGAAUGAUGGUUCUGUGACUGAGUGGCGGACGGGUGAGUAACGCGUGGAUAACCUGCCUCACACAGGGGGAUAACAGUUGGAAACGGCUGCUAAUAUCGCAUAAGCGCACAGCACCGCAUGGUGCAGUGUGAAAAACUCCGGUGGUGUGAGAUGGAUCCGCGUCUGAUUA